rnacentral:rRNA from 1 species
GACGAACGCUGGCGGCGUGCUUAACACAUGCAAGUCGAACGGAAAGGCCCUGCUUUUGUGGGGUGCUCGAGUGGCGAACGGGUGAGUAACACGUGUGUAACCUGCCCUUGACUUUGGGAUAACUUCAGGAAACUGGGGCUAAUACCGGAUAGGAGCUGCUGCUGCAUGGUGGGGGUUGGAAAGUUUCGGCGGUUGGGGAUGGACUCGCGGCUUAUCAGCUUGUUGGUGGGGUAGUGGCUUACCAAGGCCUUGACGGGUAGCCGGCCUGGGAGGGUGACCGGCCACAUUGGGACUGAGAUACGGCCCAGACUCCUACGGGGGGCAGCAGUGGGGAAUAUUGCACAAUGAGCGGGAGCCUGAUGCAGCAGCGCCGCGGGCGGGAUGACGGCCUUCGGGUUGUGAACCGCUUUAGCCUGUGACGAAGCGGGAGUGACGGUAAUGGGAGAAGAAGCACCGGCUAACUACGUG